rnacentral:snRNA from 1 species
AGAUAUGGGAGGGUGAUCUGCUCUGUAACAUCUGUCACCCCAUUGAUUGCUAGGUUUGAUUUGGCUGAUAUGGCUGGCUAGACAGGUGUCCCCUUCCUCCCUCACCACUCCAUGUGCCUCCCUCCCAAAGUUUUGUGCUGGAUCGAAGAGGAUGGCCUUCUCCAAAAAGAGAUGGACCGGUAUUUGGUCAAGGGUAUAGGAGUAGCUGUGCUCCCCUGCUAGAACCUUCAAACAAGCUCUCAAGAUAAGACUAUAGAUAGAUAGAUACAUAGAUAGAUACAUAGAUAUGACAGACAUAUUUCAUCUUUU